GACGAACGCUGGCGGCGUGCUUAACACAUGCAAGUCGAACGGAAAGGCCCCUUUCGGGGGGUACUCGAGUGGCGAACGGGUGAGUAACACGUGAGUAACCUGCCCUUGACUUUGGGAUAACUUCAGGAAACUGGGGCUAAUACCGGAUAGGAGCUCCUGCUGCAUGGUGGGGGUUGGAAAGUUUCGGCGGUUGGGGAUGGACUCGCGGCUUAUCAGCUUGUUGGUGGGGUAGUGGCUUACCAAGGCUUCGACGGGUAGCCGGCCUGAGAGGGUGACCGGCCACAUUGGGACUGAGAUACGGCCCAGACUCCUACGGGAGGCAGCAGUGGGGAAUAUUGCACAAUGGGUGGAAGCCUGAUGCAGCAACGCCGUGUGCGGGAUGACGGCCUUCGGGUUGUAAACCGCUUUCGCUCAUGACGAAGCUUUGUGUGACGGUAGUGGGUAAAGAAGCACCGGCUAACUACGUG
rnacentral:rRNA from 1 species